rnacentral:rRNA from 1 species
GAUGAACGCUGGCGGCGUGCUUAACACAUGCAAGUCGAACGAUGAAGCCCAGCUUGCUGGGUGGAUUAGUGGCGAACGGGUGAGUAACACGUGAGUAACCUGCCCUUGACUCUGGGAUAAGCGCUGGAAACGGCGUCUAAUACCCGAUACGAGCUUCCACCGCAGGGUGAGUUGCUGGGAAGAAUUGCGGUCAGGGAUGGACUGGGGGCUUAUCAGGUAGUGGGGGGGGUAGCGGCUCACGAAGCCGACGACGGGUAGCGGGCCUGAGAGGGUGACCGGGGUCACUGGGACUGCGGGAGGCACCAGACUGCUACGGGGGGCAGCAGUGGGGAACAUUGCCCAGUGGGGGCAAGCGUGAUGCGGCGGUGCCGCGUGUGGGACGAAGGCCUUCGGGGCGUAAACCUCUUUUAGCAGAGAAGAAGCGAAAGUGACGGUACCUGCAGAAAAAGCACCGGCUAACUACGUG